UUAUCACUCACUUUUAUCAGACGGCUGCUUUUGUCGGCGGUGAUAAAAGUUAGCGCUAGAAAACUUCACUAACGCAUUGCUUCGCUGUGGAUAACCGAAGCUAUGCGUUUUUUU
rfam:Lactobacillus brantae DSM 23927 Scaffold1, whole genome shotgun sequence.